AGUCGAGGGGUAGAAGUCUUCGGGCUUUGAGACCGGCGCACGGGUGCGUAACGCGUAUGCAACCUACCUUGAACAGGGGGAUAGCCCAGAGAAAUUUGGAUUAAUACCCCAUGGUAUUAUAGAAUGGCAUCAUUUUAUUAUUAAAGUCACAACGGUUCAAGAUGGGCAUGCGUCCCAUUAGCUAGUUGGUAAGGUAACGGCUUACCAAGGCAACGAUGGGUAGGGGUCCUGAGAGGGAGAUCCCCCACACUGGUACUGAGACACGGACCAGACUCCUACGGGAGGCAGCAGUGAGGAAUAUUGGUCAAUGGGCGCAAGCCUGAACCAGCCAUGCCGCGUGCAGGAUGAAGCAUCUAUGGUGUGUAAACUGCUUUUAUACGGGAAGAAACCCCGCCUCGUGAGGCGGAUUGACGGUACCGUAGGAAUAAGGAUCGGCUAACUCCGUGCCAGCAGCCGCGGUAAUACGGAGGAUCCAAGCGUUAUCCGGAAUCAUUGGGUUUAAAGGGUCCGUAGGCGGGCCUGUAAGUCAGUGGUGAAAUCUCCCCGCUCAACGGGGAAACGGCCAUUGAUACUGCAGGCCUUGAAUUAUUAGGAAGUAACUAGAAUAUGUAGUGUAGCGGUGAAAUGCUUAGAUAUUACAUGGAAUACCAAUUGCGAAGGCAGGUUACUACUAAUGGAUUGACGCUGAUGGACGAAAGCGUGGGUAGCGAACAGGAUUAGAUACCCUGGUAGUCCACGCCGUAAACGAUGGAUACUAGCUGUUCGGGGCAACCUGAGUGGCUAAGCGAAAGUGAUAAGUAUCCCACCUGGGGAGUACGGGCGCAAGCCUGAAAC
rnacentral:rRNA from 1 species